GAAGCUCUGGGCAGGAGGAGGGGAGGGCGAGGGAGCCAUGCCUGUGCUGGUGGAAGAGCCUCUGAGCAUGC
rnacentral:miRNA from 1 species